AUUGAACGCUGGCGGCAGGCCUAACACAUGCAAGUCGAGCGGAUGAAGGGAGCUUGCUCCUGGAUUCAGCGGCGGACGGGUGAGUAAUGCCUAGGAAUCUGCCUGGUCGUGGGGGAUAACGUCCGGAAACGGGCGCUAAUACCACAUACGUCCUGAUGGAGAAAGUGGGGGAUCUUCGGACCUCACGCUAUCAGAUGAGCCUAGGUCGGAUUAGCUAGUUGGUGGGGUAAAGGCCUACCAAGGCGACGCUCCGUAACUGGUCUGAGAGGAUGAUCAGUCACACUGGAACUGAGACACGGUCCAGACUCCUACGGGAAGCAGCAGUGGGGAAUAUUGGACAAUGGGCGAAAGCCUGAUCCAGCCAUGCCGCGUGUGUGAAGAAGGUCUUCGGAUUGUAAAGCACUUUAAGUUGGGAGGAAGGGCAGUAAGUUAAUACCUUGCUGUUUUGACGUUACCAACAGAAUAAGCACCGGCUAACUUCGUG
rnacentral:rRNA from 1 species